UGGGGAAUAUUGCACAAUGGGCGCAAGCCUGAUGCAGCCAUGCCGCGUGUGUGAAGAAGGCCUUCGGGUUGUAAAGCACUUUCAGCGGGGAGGAAGGCGAUAAGGUUAAUAACCUUGUCGAUUGACGUUACCCGCAGAAGAAGCACCGGCUAACUCCGUGCCAGCAGCCGCGGUAAUACGGAGGGUGCAAGCGUUAAUCGGAAUUACUGGGCGUAAAGCGCACGCAGGCGGUCUGUCAAGUCGGAUGUGAAAUCCCCGGGCUUAACCUGGGAACUGCAUUCGAAACUGGCAGGCUGGAGUCUCGUAGGGGGGGGUAGAAUUCCAGGUGUAGCGGUGAAAUGCGUAGAGAUCUGGAGGAAUACCGGUGGCGAAGGCGGCCCCCUGGACGGAGACUGACGCUCAGGUGCGAAAGCGUGGGGAGCAAACAGG
rnacentral:rRNA from 1 species